rnacentral:rRNA from 1 species
AUCUGAAAGACUCUCGGCAACGGAUAUCUCGGCUCUUGCAUCGAUGAAGAACGUAGCGAAAUGCGAUACUUGGUGUGAAUUGCAGAAUCCCGUGAACCAUCGAGUCUUUGAACGCAAGUUGCGCCCGAAGCCAUUAGGCUGAGGGCACGUCUGCCUGGGUGUCGCCC